CCGCGUGCCCCGCGGGUCACGGGGCGGCCUCCGCGGAGCUCACCUGUGGCUCCGUUACGAGGCUUUGGGCGGCGGAUGCUCGGCUCGGCCCUGCCGCUCCGCAGAGGCCGCAUGGCCCGUGCCCCGGGGCGCCCCCCCCCCCCCCGGGAGGCUGGUCCUGCGGGUCCCCGAGGGCGCCGGGCUACCCCGGGCUCCGAGCCCCCUUCUCAGCGCGGCCGCCGCGACCCCGGCAGCGACCUCGGGGAGCCGAGGGGCCCGCAGGAGGGCGCGACCUGCAGCCCGUGCUCUCCCUCCUGCGUGAAUACAACGAGAGAACGACUGCGCUGAGGGAUCCUGACCAGCCGACCCGGUGCAGGACUGCGGUCAAGGGCAAAGAGCUCCAGGAGCCCAGGGCCACGCCGUGGUCCGACAGUCGGCCAACAGGAAGUCGGAGUAGAGAGAAGGCACAGGGGUGCUUUGCAGGGCCUGGGAGGAGGGGGCGUUGUUGAAGGGGUGCAGAGCUCCAGCGUUUGACGACAAGAGUUCUGGAGAUGGACAGUAUGGGCGACUAUACUUCGUGCC
rnacentral:lncRNA from 1 species